CCAGCCAAAUGGAGAGGAAGCAGGAUGGACUGUACAGAGGAACAAGCACUUUUCAUUUUCAAGAUUUGGUAACGGAGUCUUCACUGGACAUGUAAUAUUUCUUCACUGGACAGCUCUCUCCUCACAAUGACCUUUCCUUCUACUUUAGCUCAAGAAUGAAUCCACACUCAUUCAAAACACAAAGAAUAUAUGUAGUCUAUCCUUAAUUUCAUCAUCGAGUAUCUAUUAAAAAAUUACCUUUAAAUCAAAUUUUUGAGUUAAAAUCAUUUUUCCUUUGACAUAGAGAAAAUACACCUUUAUUCUCAAACAUGGUUUCAGAAAUUAGACAAAUUAAAACAUGACAUCAUUAAACUUUACUAAUGAGAUUAAUAUGUACAUUACCCAAAAUACAUCCUAGUCAAAUCUCAAACCUAAUUUUAAAAAAUGAAAAUCUUUACAUUUUCAAAUAUGACUGAAUAAUCAAGGCAAAAAUAAAUUUCACCCAGAAGUAGGCUUAAAUAAUAAGCAUGUGAGUUGAACAGAAAGACAGGACAACUCUGGCUGUACCUGUGAGAUAUUGCAGGCUUGUGACCGUCUUUUAAGCCAGGUAUAUCCUCAUGUAAAUAUGCCAAUCCUCUAGCCAUGGUUUCUGCGAUAUGACAGAGUUCAUUCCAAGAGACCACAUUAGCCUUGAGGAAGUCUGACAGUGAACCCUAAAGAAAAGAGCGAGACACCCGUAAGUUCUUGAUGCAAGUUUUACACAGAUGGAAACUUUGCUUUGGAUAUGGAGGCAAUGCAUUCCUUUCAGUACAUAAUCAAUCAAGCACUAUAGAGUUUCCUUCCAAUUCACAUUACUGAACAUUCAACCCCAAAAGACUGAUUUUUAAAAGCUAAUUACCAAAAUAAGUUAAUUUCCCUAACUUUAGAAAGUUUAAAAAAAAAAAAAAACAGACUACAAAA